UGCUGUCCUCUAAAAAUUCUUUGGCUCCUUUGCGUAGUAUCAGGAGAGUUACAGUUUUCCGAGAUGAUUUCAACCAUUUUGACAAAAGCCAUUACAAGAUGGAGGUUGAUGCCACCUGAGGCGGAAAUGGGGAAUUCCAAAUAUACACCCCGGAACACCGGAAUCUGUACACUGCUAAUGGAUAUCUAUAUAUUAAACCAACAUUGACUAUCGACCAUCCUGCAUU